rnacentral:rRNA from 1 species
AGUGAACGCUGGCGGUAGGCCUAACACAUGCAAGUCGAACGGCAGCACAGUAAGAGCUUGCUCUUACGGGUGGCGAGUGGCGGACGGGUGAGGAAUACAUCGGAAUCUACUUUUUCGUGGGGGAUAACGUAGGGAAACUUACGAUAAUACCGCAUACGACCUACGGGUGAAAGCAGGGGAUCUUCGGACCUUGCGCGAUUGAAUGAGCCGAUGUCGGAUUAGCUAGUUGGCGGGGUAAAGGCCCACCAAGGCGACGAUCCGUAGCUGGUCUGAGAGGAUGAUCAGCCACACUGGAACUGAGACACGGUCCAGACUCCUACGGGAGGCAGCAGUGGGGAAUAUUGGACAAUGGGCGCAAGCCUGAUCCAGCCAUACCGCGUGGGUGAAGAAGGCCUUCGGGUUGUAAAGCCCUUUUGUUGGGAAAGAAAAGCAGCAGGUUAAUACCCCGCUGUUCUGACAGUACCCAAAGAAUAAGCACCGGCUAACUUCGUG